rfam:Burkholderia calidae type strain LMG 29321 genome assembly, contig: contig000050
UCGAGCCGUAUGCGGGGAAACUCGCACGUACGGUUCCUAGGGGGCUCCUCUUCCGCAAGGAGGGGGGGCUACCCUAC